rnacentral:rRNA from 1 species
CAGCAGCCGCGGGAAUACGAAGGGGGCUAGCGUUGUUCGGAUUUACUGGGCGUAAAGCGCACGUAGGCGGAUUCUUAAGUCAGAGGUGAAAUCCCAAGGCUCAACCUUGGAACUGCCUUUGAUACUGGGGAUCUUGAGUUCGGGAGAGGUGAGUGGAACUGCGAGUGUAGAGGUGAAAUUCGUAGAUAUUCGCAAGAACACCAGUGGCGAAGGCGGCUCACUGGCCCGAUACUGACGCUGAGGUGCGAAAGCGUGGGGAGCAAACAGGAUUAGAUACCCCCGUAGUCCCUGUCUCUUAUAC